CGUGUAGGCGGAAUGAUAUGUCAGAGGUGCAAUCUACGGGCUUAACUCGUAGCCUGCCUUUGAAACUGUCAUUCUUGAGUGCGGGAGAGGAGAGUGGAAUUCCUGGUGUAGCGGUGAAAUGCGUAGAUAUCAGGAAGAACACCGGUAGCGAAGGCGGCUCUCUGGCCCGCAACUGACGCUGAGGCGCGAAAGCGUGGGGAGCAAACAGGAUUAGAUACCCUGGUAGUCC
rnacentral:rRNA from 1 species